AAAUAGAACUUUGCAGAGAGAGUUAAGAGGGCGUGAACCGUUAAUUGGCAAACGAAUCGGAGCCACGAAGUCGUUUCGCUGAUAGUUAGGCUGAGUUCAGUGUUUAUGUUGCUGUACAAGUAACGUAAAUAUGUAUUCUCUAGGUUUAACCAUCCUUGUAAGCGUACACUGCAACUAGUUAGACGAUUGUUGAUGGGCCCAGUGGGCAAGGCUUUAACGCAAGUUAUCGCCUUGUUUUACGAAGCAUUUGUUUGUUAUAAGAGGUAAUAGUAUAACUUUGUGAAUGCGAAUGUUUAUGCUGUUGGCUUAUAAUAAGUGAACUAUUAACAAAUACUGACUAGCAAAAUGAAAAUCACCUUCGCAUGAAGUGUGUUGUAUAGACAAGGCGUUGGCAGCGUAUACUGUUACACAGUUGGCGCGUUAGUUUUAAAGUCCAGUAUUUUUGAAUUUAGACUUGCUUGCUAUCAAUGGGGCAACUCUUGGUGCUUGUAUAGCUUCUAUCUAAUCGGAUACUGACUUGGCUUGCGAUUGUUUAACUGUGAAUCGUUUGAUGGUAUACGUUAGUUAAUUGCAAUUUGAAUUGGCAGUGAGUAGGUCGGCUUUCCGAACGACCCGUCUUGAAACACGGACCAAGGAGUCUAAUUAGGCAUCGAGUCGAUCGGUCUUGAUAGGCCAGCUUGUGAGCAAAAUGUUAAAGUUUUGCUGAUCAGAAGGCGUAGAGAAAUCAAAUUUCAUGUGAUCUUGUAACAAAUACCCAUGUUACUAGCGCAACAUGUGCCUGCUCGUAUGCCAUUGUUGCAACGUAAAGUUAAGAUUAACACUUUUAGCUGUUGUUAACAUGGUGAGCGGAGUAAAGAGAUGCUUGACUGGUACCCGAAAGAUGGUGAACUAUGCUUGGGCAAAUUGAAGCCAGAGGAAACUCUGGUGGAGGAUUGUAGCGAUUCUGACGUGCAAAUCGAUCGUCAGACCUGAGUAUAGGGGCGAAAGACUAAUCGAACCAUC
rnacentral:rRNA from 1 species